CGAGUUGUAAUUUGUAGAGGAUGCUUCUGGGUAGCGACCGAUCUAAGUUCCUUGGAACAGGACGUCAUAGAGGGUGAGAAUCCCGUAUGUGACCGGCCCGCACCCUUUACGUAGCUCCUUCGACGAGUCGAGUUGUUUGGGAAUGCAGCUCUAAAUGGGAGGUAAAUUUCUUCUAAAGCUAAAUACCGGCCAGAGACCGAUAGCGCACAAGUAGAGUGAUCGAAAGAUGAAAAGUACUUUGGAAAGAGAGUUAAAAAGCACGUGAAAUUGUUGAAAGGGAAGCGCCUGCAACCAGACUUCGUGGCAGUGUUCCGCCGGUCUUCUGACCGGUUUAUUCUCUGUCGCGAGGCCAUCAUCGUCUAGGCCCGCCGGAUAAGACCUUAGGAAUGUAGCUCACCUUCGGGGGAGUGUUAUAGCUUAUGGUGAUGCGGCGAGGCUUGGGCGAGGUCCGCGCUUCGGCAAGGAUGAUGGCGUAAUGGUUGUCGGCGGCCCGUCUUGAAACACGGACCAAGGAGUCUAACAUCUAUGCGAGUGUUCGGGUGUCAAACCCCUACGCGUAAUGAAAGUGAACGGAGGUGGGAACCGCAAGGUGCACCAUCGACCGAUCCUGAUGUCCUCGGAUGGAUUUGAGUAAGAGCAUAGCUGUUGGGACCCGAAAGAUGGUGAACUAUGCCUGAAUAGGGUGAAGCCAGA
rnacentral:rRNA from 1 species